GGGGCCUUAGCUCAGUUGGUAGAGCGCUGCCUUUGCAAGGCAGAUGUCAGGAGUUCGGCCUUU
rnacentral:tRNA from 1 species